ensembl:lncRNA
CCAUUCAGUCGAGUUUCCCUGCGGUGAACACAAGCCGCUGGUUCAAAAUGGCUAUGAGACCAAUCAGAAAAGGUGGCUUUAGUGAUCCAUGAAUUUUUAGUAUAAUAAUGGACUGAAUGAAACCACUGCAGUGAAUGAGAGCCGCAGUAUAAGAGAGAAUCUAUCCUGGGCCGGGCUCCAGCCUCGAGAGUCAGUCACCUUCCACACCAGCUCCGCUUCUUCCAGAGCAGCAGCCCCCUUCAUUAAGAUCUGCUUGGGUCUGGCGUCUGGACGUACCUUGGAUUCCACCUUUUCCACCUUGUGCAUCAUCCCAUUCCUGCUCUGGAUCUGGCUUCCCUGACCCCAAAGUCUCCCACUCUUGACUUCUC